GGCGUGCCUAACACAUGCAAGUCGAACGGAACUGUUUUGAAAGAUUUCUUCGGAAUGAAUUUGAUUUAGUUUAGUGGCGGACGGGUGAGUAACGCGUGAGUAACCUGCCUUCAAGAGGGGGAUAACAUUCUGAAAAGAAUGCUAAUACCGCAUGACAUAUCGGAACCACAUGGUUUUGAUAUCAAAGAUUUUAUCGCUUGAAGAUGGACUCGCGUCCGAUUAGUUAGUUGGUGAGGUAACGGCUCACCAAGACCGCGAUCGGUAGCCGGACUGAGAGGUUGAACGGCCACAUUGGGACUGAGACACGGCCCAGACUCCUACGGGAGGCAGCAGUGGGGGAUAUUGCGCAAUGGGGGCAACCCUGACGCAGCAACGCCGCGUGAAGGAUGAAGGUUUUCGGAUUGUAAACUUCUUUUAUUAAGGACGAAAAAUGACGGUACUUAAUGAAUAAGCUCCGGCUAACUACGUGCCAGCAGCCGCGGUAAUACGUAGGGAGCAAGCGUUGUCCGGAUUUACUGGGUGUAAAGGGUGCGUAGGCGGCUUUGCAAGUCAGAUGUGAAAUCUAUGGGCUCAACCCAUAAACUGCAUUUGAAACUGUAGAGCUUGAGUGAAGUAGAGGCAGGCGGAAUUCCCCGUGUAGCGGUGAAAUGCGUAGAGAUGGGGAGGAACACCAGUGGCGAAGGCGGCCUGCUGGGCUUUAACUGACGCUGAGGCACGAAAGCGUGGGUAGCAAACAGGAUUAGAUACCCUGGUAGUCCACGCUGUAAACGAUGAUUACUAGGUGUGGGGGGUCUGACCCCUUCCGUGCCGGAGUUAACACAAUAAGUAAUCCACCUGGGGAGUACGCCGGCAACGGUGAAACUCAAAGGAAUUGACGGGGGCCCGCACAAGCGGAGGAACAUGUGGUUUAAUUCGAUGAUACGCGAGGAACCUUACCCGGGCUUGAAAGUUACUGACGAUUCUGGAAACAGGAUUUCCCUUCGGGGCAGGAAACUAGGUGCUGCAUGGUUGUCGUCAGCUCGUGCCGUGAGGUGUCGGGUUAAGUCCCAUAACGAGCGCAACCCCUACCGUUAGUUGCCAUCAGGUCAAGCUGGGCACUCUGGCGGGACUGCCGGUGUAAGCCGAGAGGAAGGUGGGGAUGACGUCAAAUCAGCACGGCCCUUACGUCCGGGGCUACACACGUGUUACAAUGGUAGGUACAGAGGGCAGCUACCCAGUGAUGGGAUGCGAAUCUCGAAAGCCUAUCUCAGUUCGGAUCGGAGGCUGAAACCCGCCUCCGUGAAGUUGGAUUCGCUAGUAAUCGCGCAUACAGCCAUGGCGCGGUGAAUACGUUCCCGGGCC
rnacentral:rRNA from 1 species